UCGCUAUAUUUUUUUAUUUUUUUGGUUUUUUAAGUUUUGGUUCAAUUAUUCGGUUUUUUUUCUCACCCUUGAGAAGUAUUAAGAGAGCAACAGAACGCUUUUGGCAGAUGCAUAUUCGAUACACGGACCCGUUGAUACCCCUAGUAGCAGAUGCAUAUUCGAUACACGGAUCCGUUGAUACCCCUAGUGGCAAAUGGAGUUUAAUUUUUUAUUAAAGAUAAAAGAAUGUUUUAAAGAAGACGAGAAUGUGUGGGUUAUUUUUCUUUUAGUAUUACUUAAAAGGGUAGAAUCGUAAAAUUGUCACUAUUCUUUCUUUUCCUCUCCACUCGGGAAUGCAAAAAAAAUGUUUAUUUUCACUUCUUUCCUUUCCUUUACUUGAAACUCUGGAACACACAAUAAUUUUUAUUUGUUCCUUUCUUUUCUCUACUAAACUCUAUUUCUUUUCUUUUCUUUCUUUUAUUAAACUCAGGAACAGAGUGUAAGGGGGAUCUUCAGAUUAAGAGAGGUUCCCUUGUUCCACUUUUUGGUUCUAGGUUAAAACCUUAUUAAGGGGUGUUUGGGAUUGCUUUUUCAACCUGAUUUUUUGAUUAUUGUGUUUUGAAAUCGCAAAAAAUCUAUUUUGAGUGUUUGGUAAAAAAAUUAACAAAAACUGAUUUUUUUGCGUUUUAUAGACAUCAAAAUGUGAUAAUCCAAAAGUAGGUCACCCCUACCGGAGGAAAACGUGAUUCCACAAUAUAGUCUGCUAAAAUUUACCGCCAUAUCUAUUAUCACCCCUCUCCCUUUGUAUACAUCGUUAGAACCCUAAUCACUUUGGCGGACUGUAACAAAAGUGGGCUUCUCAAAUGGUGGAUUCUUUCUACUUGUUGAUCAUCAUUCCCUUCUCACAGCGGAUGUGCAGUGGCAUUUAGGUGAUUUUAAGCUCAUGGGGGAGCAUCAACAGGGGAGACAUAAGGCUGGAACAUACUUUUAUGAUUAGGACAAACUUUCCACCCCGAAUUUUUAUUUUGAGAACCUAAUAAAAGUAUGGAAACCAAUAAUUUCUUGAAA